ensembl:lincRNA
UUUAGAGAAAUAAUUUACCUAGCCUCAUAAUUUGGAUAUUACAUAAUUGCUAGGAAACUUUGAAAACACAUCAACAUCUCAUCUCUUUAAAAAAGAAUACUUCAUUUUAAUGACUCAGCAGAUAACUCCACUGAUGUUUAGCUGCUAAAAGAGUGACUCCAAAGAACAAAUUGAUACUUUCUAUAGCAAGCAUGGAAAUACAACAAAGAAAGUAAAUAUGUGGCUAUUUCAUUUCUCAAAAGGUCAGUUUUAACUUAAUUUUGGUC